rfam:Ixodes scapularis strain Wikel colony gcontig_1108378868710, whole genome shotgun sequence.
CUCUGGUUAGCUCAGUUUGUAGAGCGCUCCACUUGUAAUGGAGAGGUCCCGAGUUCGAUACAAGGACCAGACG